CCGAGCCGUAUGAAGGGAAACUUUCAUGUGCGGUUCCUCGGGGGGGAAGGCGCAGUAAUGCGCUGACCUACCCAAC
rnacentral:ncRNA from 1 species